rnacentral:rRNA from 1 species
GACGAACGCUGGCGGCGUGCCUAAUGCAUGCAAGUCGCACGGGCGGCCUUCGGGCCGUCAGUGGCGCACGGCUGAGGAACACGUACGUACCUACCGUCUUGUGGGGGACAACCCCGGGAAACCGGGGCUAAUCCCGCAUACGCUCGUAAGAGGAAAGCGGCUUCGGUCGCGCAAGACGCCGGGCGUGCGGCCCAUCAGGUUGUUGGCGGGGUAACGGCCCACCAAGCCGGUGACGGGUCGCUGGUCUGAGAGGAUGACCAGCCAGACUGGGACUGAGACACGGCCCAGACUCCUACGGGAGGCAGCAGCAAGGAAUUUUCGGCAAUGGGCGCAAGCCUGACCGAGCAACGCCGCGUGGUGGAUGACGGCCUUCGGGUUGUAAACACCUUUUGGGGGGGAUGACAUCGACAGUACCCCCCGAACAAGCCCCGGCUAACUCUGUG